rnacentral:rRNA from 1 species
GACGAACGCUGGCGGCGUGCCUAAUACAUUCAAGUCGAGCGGACGAAUCGAAAGCUUGCUUUUGAUUCGUUAGCGGCGGACGGGUGAGUAACACGUGGGCAACCUGCCCUGUAGACGGGGAUAACACCGAGAAAUCGGUGCUAAUACCGGAUAACACGAAAUGUCGCAUGACGUUUCGUUGAAAGACGGCGCAAGCUGUCGCUACAGGAUGGGCCCGGGGCGCAUUAGCUAGUUGGUGAGGUAACGGCUCACCAAGGCGACGAUGCGUAGCCGACCUGAGAGGGUGAUCGGCCACACUGGAACUGAGACACGGCCCAGACUCCUACGGGAGGCAGCAGUAGGGAAUCUUCCGCAAUGGACGAAAGUCUGACGGAGCAACGCCGCGUGAGCGAAGAAGGCCUUCGGGUCGUAAAGCUCUGUUGUUAGGGAAGAACAAGUAACGCAGUAACUGGCGUUACCGUGACGGUACCUAACGAGAAAGCCACGGCUAACUACGUG